rnacentral:rRNA from 1 species
UGACAUACCUAAACGUUGCUUCGGCGGGAACAGACGGCCCCGUGAAACGGGCCGCCCCCGCCAGAGGACCCCUAACUCUGUUUCUAUAAUGUUUCUUCUGAGUAAAACAAGCAAAUAAAUUAAAACUUUCAACAACGGAUCUCUUGGCUCUGGCAUCGAUGAAGAACGCAGCGAAAUGCGAUAAGUAAUGUGAAUUGCAGAAUUCAGUGAAUCAUCGAAUCUUUGAACGCACAUUGCGCCCGCCAGUAUUCUGGCGGGCAUGCCUGUUCGAGCGUCAUUACAACCCUCAGGCCCCCGGGCCUGGCGUUGGGGAUCGGCGGAGCCCCCCGUGGGCACACGCCGUCCCCCAAAUACAGUGGCGGUCCCGCCGCAGCUUCCAUCGCGUAGUAGCUAACACCUCGCGACUGGAGAGCGGCGCGGCCACGCCGUAAAACACCCAACUCUUCUGAAGUUGACCUCGAAUCAGGUAGGAAUACCCGCUGAACUUAAGCAUAUCAAUAAGCGGAGGA